GAUGAACGCUGGCGGCGUGCCUAAUACAUGCAAGUCGAGCGAACGAACGAGAAGCUUGCUUUUCUGAUGUUAGCGGCGGACGGGUGAGUAACACGUGGAUAACCUACCUAUAAGACUGGGAUAACUUCGGGAAACCGGAGCUAAUACCGGAUAAUAUUUUGAACCGCAUGGUUCAAAAGUGAAAGACGGUCUUGCUGUCACUUAUAGAUGGAUCCGCGCUGCAUUAGCUAGUUGGUAAGGUAACGGCUUACCAAGGCAACGAUGCAUAGCCGACCUGAGAGGGUGAUCGGCCACACUGGAACUGAGACACGGUCCAGACUCCUACGGGAGGCAGCAGUAGGGAAUCUUCCGCAAUGGGCGAAAGCCUGACGGAGCAACGCCGCGUGAGUGAUGAAGGUCUUCGGAUCGUAAAACUCUGUUAUUAGGGAAGAACAUAUGUGUAAGUAACUGUGCACAUCUUGACGGUACCUAAUCAGAAAGCCACGGCUAACUACGUG
rnacentral:rRNA from 1 species